rnacentral:rRNA from 1 species
UACGGAAGGCAGCAGUGGGUAAUAUUCGCACAAUGGGCGCAAGCCUGAUGGCAGCCAUGCCGCGUGUAUGAAGAAGGCCUUCGGGUUGUAAAGUACUUUCAGUCGUGAGGAAGGUGUUAAGGUUAAUAACCUUAGCAAUUGACGUUAGCGACAGAAGAAGCACCGGCUAACUCCGUGCCAGCAGCCGCGGUAAUACGGAGGGUGCGAGCGUUAAUCGGAAUUACUGGGCGUAAAGGGCACGCAGGCGGUUAAUUAAGUUGGAUGUGAAAUCCCCGGGCUUAACCUGGGAAUGGCAUUCAAGACUGGUUAGCUAGAGUCUUGUAGAGGGGGUAGAAUUCCAUGUGUAGCGGUGAAAUGCGUAGAGAUGUGGAGGAAUACCGGUGGCGAAGGCGGCCCCUGGACAAAGACUGACGCUCAUGUGCGAAAGCGUGGGGAGCAAACAGGGAUUAGAUACC